AGCAUAUGUGGUUUCUCUAUUGAUUAAUGUCGUUUCAGUACGCAGUGCACAGCUGAUCAGUGGUCUUAGCGGACGGUCGCCGCUUGUUCGUGCUUUAAAAUAUUGGAAAACGACAGAAAAGUUACUGUUAUCCGCGUGUCUAUACGGUGGCAGUUGAAAUUUCACUUUGCAGCAAAUGAAUAAAAUCGCGACGUUUACCAAGUGUCUUUAUCGAGUGCUGGAAGUGAGCUGUUAACUGAUUCCUCGUUCGUUGGACGUUUCCAAUGGUUGCCGUCCGGUAGGCCUGCCAGGAGGAUGGGGGCCCACGAUGGGGGAGUGCCAUUGCUCUAACAUCGCUAUCAUGCAGCUGUUCCAUGAGCUGAAGCAGCAGUUCCCUGCGCUCCCUGAUCACGUCGUUUCCCAGUGCAUCGCCCAGAAUAGCCACGAUCGGGAGACAUGCGCGAGAAGCCUUCGUGCCACUCAAGAGUCACGUCAGUCUCCGGGCGCGUUCCCACCGGCGGCACUUUGCGCCAUCCUCCAGCAGCAGCAACAGCAACAGCAGCAACAUCAUCAACAUCAUCAACGAGCGAACCAUCUGGCCACGCAGCAGCAACGUUUCUGCACGAUGAGCCAGUUGCAACGCGCCAGCAACAGCACGAACAACAAUACGCGACCACACAGACCAGCCUCGCUGGACAUUGGUAUGGCACGGCGCUGUCCCGUUAGCUGUACACGAGCAGCCGCGAUAUCAGCCUCGUCGCCGAUAGCUGCCGACUCAGCCAGCACCCCUUCUUCAGCGCCUGCCGUCUGCACGACCGCGUCGCGCGGUUUCUUCGACGAUUGUACCGGACCGAGCGACGCGAACUGCCUUAACAAAGUCCAGAACGCGGGAAACGAGCCAGCCGGAUUCGAGCUGAACGUGAACGUUGCCUGCAGCCCUGCUGGCAAUCGCGACUUUCGAACGGUGCCUACGAUCGCUGGUGCCUGUAAACGAAGCGAUCUGCUGCUCGACCCACGGACUCAUUACGCCGAGCCGUUACUCAACGUGGAGAACACGGGCCCGCAGAUCGAUCACACUCGAAGCUACACCUCGGUUAGUCUGACGCUGAGGCCGCCAUCCUCGGAACCGCAGCCUCCGAUCGACAUCAGAUCUCAGGGCUCGAGCCUGACUUACUCGAGCUCCUCUCUGGAUCCCCGGGGCUUUCAAAGCCGUCUUCAGAUCAGCAUCGGCGCGGGAGCCGUUGGCGGUGUGGCGGCUGCGAGAAUCAGACCUCCGAUGGGCCCUAUCAGACCCAACAGCUUGAUACCGCCGGUACAAACCGGUCCUCAGAGACCACCAGUUGCAGGUCUUCCAGCAGGACCACCUAGUCAGUUACCGAGGCCCACGACGACAAUGAGCGCCCCAACCACACCUUCUGUACCAUCCACGACGAACAUCGCCCCCUCCAUUAGCCUUCCGACAACACCGUCAGGACCGACCACGACCUCGCCGCCCUCCAGUCCCAUUGGCGAACGAAUACCGGCCAAUUCCGAUCAGAACCGAUCGCCGUUGAAUCAAGUGGCGGAGCAUCAAAGGGAAUUGGUCGCCGAGCAGUUAGCAAGAAAAGAUAGACUCGCCAGGGAAUUGAGAGCCGAGAAAGGACGACUCGAAGCUAUGAAGAAAGAAUUGCAGUCCCUCACGAGGCCCUUUGAUUCUUCGAUGCCUCCUCAGGAACUGAAAAAAAAAUUGAGGAGCGAGAUCUAUCAGCUACAAGUUGAAUGCGACAGACUUGCGGAUGAGGUAGAUCAGUGGUCUGACCCAAGAGUACCUUUGGGCGAAACGAACGAAAAGUUUUAUCAGCGUAUUUACACGGGUCAGCCCCUACCAUCGAGAUCUGUCAGCGCCGACCCACCGCCUCUGCCGAGUCAGCCACCCGCCUGGCAACCGGAAUCGAGCGGUAACAACGUUGAUAGAGAUGAACGAGACGGACCUUCUUGGGUCUGUAGAAUGUGCACCUUCGACAAUCAUCCAUUGAUGAAUAAAUGCGAACAGUGCGACAUGCCGAGGCUGUUGGAUCACGGAAACACAGGUACGACUUCUGGAAAAUCGAUAGACGACCUUACGGCCUCGUUAACACGCUUGAACAUCGAUUCGUCACCUCCGCCGCCGCCACCUCCAGCACCUAUGGGAAAAUAAAAUCCAGUACCUUAACAGCAUGUCCUUUUUUUGCUAUGACAUUUUUGUGAAUUGACGAAUUUGUUUCGAACAAUGAUAUUUUGCGAAAUACCGGAUACGUACGGUCCUCUAUACUUCGCUGUGAUCGAAUGUCUUACAAGAGAUGGCGUUUCUUAUUGUAAAAUAUUUGCUCGUGAGCGAGAAAAUUGUUUUACGACCACCGCAACCAUUGAUGCGACAUCAAUAAAACGUGACUAUCCGACGCACUUAAACGUAACGCAUGGACGUGUGCUAUCCUCUUCCUUCUUCUUUUCUCUUCUUUUUUUUUUUUUUUGUUUAAAUAAACUCAAUCGAAUCAAAAAUUCGAAUUGAUCUUAACCAGAGGCAUGUCUAAUUUAGCAUAUGUUACAGUGUCAUUUUUCCCUAAUUAUUAAUAGUUUAAUCUGUUUAAUCGUUUCGACGGGUCGGUAACCGUAAAUUGGCGAAACUCAAGAUAUUCAUAUACGAGUUACACAUCAUCACAACUUCUCUCCGAGCCGGAUAGUGCAUAGUUGGGUGGUAUGAUGUGAACUGCGUUAGAAACGUGAAAACUGUAUAUAAAAUCAUUAUUUAAGUUAAAUAAAAAGUAGCAGCCAACAGAUCGGGAAAGGAGAACCAGAAAUUUAAAUAACUCGAUUGACUUCAAUUUUUCGUCUAUUCAAGAGAUCGGUGUAUAACUCGAUUUUUGAUAACAAUGGAUUCAGGUGUAAGAUUGGAAUACAACGUACCGCAAAAUGUACCAUUCUCACUUCUGAUUACUAAAUAAUCAACGACUUAUCAGUAGUCUGACUUCUAUUUGUAUGAGUUUUGAAAUACUAUUUAAAAUACAAGA